AUAGAAUUCCCCACUAAAAGUCAAAGGAGAGAAGGCUCCUACCUGGACGUAACUUAGGUGGAAGCAGGGGGAUGGCGAGUUGGAGGCCGGCUGAACUAUACUGGCGGAUUCCGUCUCUAAAACAACAAAAAGUAGAACAAGACAAAACAAAACUAAACAAAAUACAAACAAAAGAUUUUAAAGUCAAAAGGCAUUGGGUGGCCCAUGCCUUUAAAUCACAGCACUCUGAAGGCAGAGGCAGGCAGAUUUCGGUGAGUUCGAAGCCAGCCUGGUCUAGAGAGUGUAUGUAUUCAAGGACAUCUAGGGAUAUUCAAAGAAACGCCGUCUCAAAAGCAGUAUCGACAAAAACAGAAACAAACUUUGAAAGCUGAGCUGGGGGUGGUGGCCAGUCACUCAACACUCAGAUGGGGAGGCUGAGUUAGGCCAACUGAGAGGAGAGGAACUAUUUGCGAUGGAUACUGAGGCUGCAGGAUAGAGUUCCCUAGGUCACAGGGAAGUCCCUUGGACCACUCUGUACUUUGAUCUCCAGCUAGAAGGACCUAGCCCCAAAAGACGUGUAUGCACCAUGGUACAUAUAUGACAACCCAAAAGUAAAUGUGUGAUGCUGGGACUGGAGAGAUGACUCAGCAGUGAGGCAGGUUCCAGAGGACACAGGUUCGAUUCCCAGCACCCACAGUGGCACACAGCCAUCUUUAACUCCCUUUCCAGGUGACCCAGUGCCCUCAUCUGACCUCCACAGGCACCAGGCACACUCAUGAUACACAGUCAUUCAAUCUAAACAUAUGCAUAAAAAUAAAUCAAUUACUAUUUAAAAACAGUACAUGUAGGGGCUGAAGGGAUGGAUGGCUCAGUGGUUAAGGGCAUGUGCCAUGUGAUCAGGCACAUCCACGGACAGCCAAAAGUGACUGCAACAAUCAGGCAUCUUUAUAGCCAGCUUUCCAGGGCACCUGAGAAAAGACACUUCCAUCACUAGCUGUUACCCCUGUCCUGUGUCCUCUUCCCCAAGCAUCACAGCCCCAGUUACAGUCGAGGCUCCGUUGCCCAAAUAUCUUCUUUACUUUCUCUCACAGAGGCUGCCUCUGUGCCCCUCCCCUUAAAAAACUCCCAUGUGAGACCUGUCACAUGGUGUGAUUUUUGUGGGGACCUGCCGCCUAGGCCCAUCACUGCCCUUCCAGAAGACCUGAGUUCGAUUCCCCGAACCUGCAUUAAAUGAUUCACAAACACCUGUAACUAGUUCCAAAGGAUAACACACUCUUGAGGCCUCCAUGGGUACCUGUAUUCAUGAGUACAACCCCACUCAACACACACAAACACAUUCUUACACUUACACGUUCACACACACACUCAUAUUCACACUUACGCACAUAAUCACACACGUGCACACACUAACAUUCGCAGUGACACACACAUUCCUUUACACACUCACGCACACAUUCACAGUGACACACUCCUUUACACACUCACGCACACAUUCACACAAGCAUGCACACACUGACACAUUCACACACGUACACACUCAUGCAUACAUACACUAACACAUUCCCACGCCUUCAUCCUCACACUCACACACACAUUCACACCUGUGCAUAUAUUCACACACAUGUUCACACCAACACAUUCGGACACAUUUACACACUCACGCACACAUUCACACACGUAUAUACACUCGUGAAUACACUAGCACCCACAGGUUCUCACACACCCGCGCACACUCACAUACACUAAUACAUACACACACACAUUCUCACACAUACACUCACGCAUACACUUACGCAUACUCACACAUAUACACACAGACUUAAAAUGAGAAAAUAAAUAUUAAGUGAACAAAAGCAAUGUACAGAUGCUUGAAGUCAUCCGGGCAUCCACGCUGUGGUCCCUUCAACAUCCCUCCCAUUUCCUGUAGGAUACUGAAUCCUAGGAAGGAUGAGAGAGAACCUAGGCUCAACCAGCUCCCAGAUGGUACAUCCUGGGCUUGUUAGAAAAGAGUCCAGGGUCACAAAACAGACCAGUGCUCCAGCUGAAGUGUCUGGACAUUGUCCGGACCCUCGGUCGAGAGGAUGCACGCACUGAGAGCGAACGCAGACAGGAAGUGCAUUUAGUUUUAAACUCCGGUAUUGACUAUGUCCUUUCCCAAUUGGCUGGGAUCUGACCCCACAGAGUUAUCCGAUUGGUUGGUCUGAAAAGAAUUGGCUCACUAGAAACAAAAGAUGUCCCUAGUGUGGGGGUUGGGAGUGGGGCAGAGGCAGGUGGAUCUCUGAGUUCAAGGCCAGCCUGAUCUACAGAGUGAGUUCCUGGACAGCCAGGGCUACACAGAAAAACCCUGUCUCCAAAAUAGAAAAAGAAAGGAAGGGAGAAGGAGCAAAGGAGGAGAGGGAGCCCUGAUAUGAGAGAAAAGAUCACUGGCUCCAGGCUGUCAAAUUUUUGGAAUGCCUCAGAGUGCCUUUCCUGAUGGGGGAGGGGGUGGGGGGUUGGGGGGGGGUUGGUUAGAACAUUUCACAAAACUCUUUCAAAGUGUAUAAGAUAAAAAGAUUUCAACUCCUAAACACAAGUUUUAUAAUACUUUAUAGGAAAGAAUCAUACCCAAUAUUUUUCAGAGUCAAACUGAGGCAGGAGCCAGUCAUUCCGAAUACAAGACAAAGACCCUGACCCGACAGCAGCAGUACACUGGCAUCAGAGCGGCGGGAACUGAAUUCCAGUCCUCUACAAGGGGAGUGCGUGAUCUUACCUGCGCAGACCUCUUUUUUUUUUUUUUUUUUCCCCCGGAGCUGGGGACCGAACCCAGGGCCUUGUGCUUGCUAGGCAAGUGCUCUACCACUGAGCUAAAUCCCCCAACCCCUUUGCGCAGACCUCUUAAAAUAAACCAAGACACGGGGUUUACUGUAGCCUACACUGGUUUAAAACUUACCAGAUUUCCUCUUACCCCGUUUCCCAACUGAUAGGAUUGUGGGCAAAAGCCACCACACCCAGCUGAGGAAGUUUGUUUUUAUUUUUCUUUUUUCAUUUUUUUUUAAAAGAUGGGUAAGACUGAGAAUUAUUUAUUUAUGUGCAGAAGAGCCGAUGACUCUGCAAAGUGGAAGGCAAGCGGUCUGAGUGGGGGUGGGGUGGAGAUGGCGGACAAGAGAGGAAGGUGUUUGCCUUAGAUAGGAGCUGGGUACUUAUCCCAGAGUGCAGGAGAGAAAGCAGAGUUUGGACAAAUUUACACAUCCCCAUGAGUCAUGGCCCCCUAGCCCGCUUAGGCAGUUUCAAGCUGGACUCUUGUGUCUCCCACUGUGCCCUCUGGUUGAAGAUAAGCCGGAGAGCAGGGUCUUGGGAGAGAUAGACCUUUCUGGAGAGGCAGGGUGAGCUAGAGAGAGACCUUUCUUCAUUGCCAGGGAGAGCUCUGAGCAGCCUGAAGAGGAAGAUGGAGAAAUGUGUGUGCCUUUCAGAAUGGAAUCAACAAGGGGCUAGGGGAUUAGUUGGAAAGUCUGCAUAGGCAGAGACUCCUGUAGCCCAGGCUAGCCUCAAAUUGGCUAUGUAUCCAAAGAUGGCUUAGCCUCAGUUUUUUGUUCUGCUUUUUUUUUUUUUUCUUUUUUCUUUUUUUCGGAGCUGGGGACCGAACCCAGGGCCUUGUGCUUGCUAGGCAAGCACUCUACCGCUGAGCUAAAUCCCCAACCCCUUUGUUCUGCCUUUUUACCUAGGUCCCUCAAAACACAGAGACCCGUCUACCUCUACCUCUAGGUUACCAGGACUAGAGUCGUGCACCGCCACACCCAGUGAUCUAAUUCUAAGGAUUUGUUUUCAUUAUUUUUUUUAAAAGAUUCAUUUAUAUUUAUUAUAUAAGCACACUGGAGCUGUCUUCAGACACACCAGAAAAGGGCAUCGGACUUCAUCACAGAUGGUUGUGAGCCACCAUGUGGUUGCUGGUAUUUGUACUCAGGACCUCUGGGAGAGCAGGCAGUGCUCUAACCACUGAGCCAUCUCUCCAGACCCGUUCUCAUUGUUUUUAAGUGAUGUGUAUGCACGCAUGCGCCCACAGAUCAGAGGCCAUCUGACUGCCUUAGAGCUAGAGGUACAGGUGACUGUGACCCUGCCGACAUGGUGGUCUGGGAACGGAACUGAGGUCCUCUGCUGGAGUGGUCCAUGCUCUUAGUUGCCGAGUCAGCGCUCCGGCCUCUGUGGCUCUGCGUCUUGGUGCUAGGGUCACAGAUGCUCCACCACACCGGGUUUAUGCAGUUGCUGGAACUGAGCCCAGGUUAAGUCCUUCACCAACUGAACUAGUCCUUAUCUCUGGUGUGUGUGUGUGUGUGUGUGUGUGUGUGUGUGUGUGUGUGUGUGUUGGAGAGGGAGGUGGUGAGACAGGUAUUGUAUAGCCAAAGCUGUCCUUGAACUCCUGACGUCCCUGUUAUGUCCUCCUAGUGCCUGAGAUCACAACCACGCAUUUUAUUUUUACUUUGUUUUGCCUCUGUGGUUGUCAUUGUUUUGUUUUGUUUUGUUUUAGAUUUUUCACACUGUAGCCCAGAUUGGCCUAGAACUCAAAUAUGUAGCCUGAGUUUGCCUGAAACUCAUAGCAAUCCUCCUGCCUCAAUCUCCUAAGUGUGGGGUUACAGGUGGGAAGCCACCACUCAGAGCAGAUUCAUUGAAGACUUCUGAUGUCUUUAAGGGUGUCCCAAGGUUGUACACUGACAAAUUGGCUGGAGAGAAAACUCAGUAAGAGAACAGUUGAAAUCCCCAAACGCAAGAAGCCUUGGGGGUUGAUGGAUCCCAGGGGUUAACGGCCAUUAAGCCUUUCCUUUUCUUUUUAUUCAAUUAUGGUGCAUGAGUACGAGUGCACAUGGGUACUUGUGUAGGUCAGAAAACAAUUUCUGAGAGUUGGGUCUCUCUCUCCACCCUGGUGGGGGUCUGGGAUUAGAGUUCGAGGCUAUAGUUGUAUUUCUUUUUGUUUCCCUUCAUGGGUUGAGGAUUGGACCUAUGGGCUCUUCCUGCUUGCCAGGCAGAUGUUUACCAUUGAGCUACUCCCAACCCUGUCCAGGCACACCUCUCUCUCUCUCUCCCCCUCUCUCCCUCUCCCCCUCCCUCCCUCCCUCCCCUCCCUCCCCUCCCCCUUCCUCUAUCCUCUCCCCUCCUAUUUUGGUCUCACGUAGCUCAGGCUGGCCGUGAACUUGCUAUGUAGUCAAGGAUAGCCUUGAGCUUCUGAUCCCCCUGCCUCUACUCUCAAAUGCUCCUGAGAUUGGCAGGGAUGCACCCCUAGACCCAGUUUGUGGGGUCCUGAGAACUUGGGGCUCUGUGCCUCUAGCAGAGCACUCUACCAGCUGAGUCCCAAGUUUCGAUCCUUGAUUUGGGGUCUGGAAAUACAGUACCAGCCUUGGGGACUGGGGCAGAUUCAAGCUUGGACAGGAUCCGGGAGGAGAAGGCAAAUGAAUCCACAAACGAGAACCAAACAAGAGGGCCCGCCCGGUGGAGGGGGCCACAGCUGUGUUCUCUCUGACCCCCUAGGAACCUUGAAGUGUCUUCCUCCUAAUUUCCUUUGCGUUAAGGAAAUGGGGGUACGCAAAACUGCAAGUGGAGGGUGCGGGGUUUGGUACACAGGACUGGACCACAAGAGGUCCUGCCCUGGGUUUUCCAGUAAUAGAGCAAACCAUUCACACGAGCACCUGAGAUCUCAGACCCACUGCUCUGUCUCCUGAUUGUGCUUUCUGCUUCUCAAUUAUCUCCAGCCUGGACAGGAGGAGGGUGUGGAGCUCGGGGGAGACUGUCCCUUGUCACUGGGAAGAUAACUCCCUGGCUGUAGCUUCAAAAAUAUAAAUUAUAAAGUGCUCUCCGGUACAAAUUAUUCCCCUGGGGGCUUGUUGAGCGCAUGAUCCACUUAUCUGCAGGGCUGAUCGCUAGUUAAACCCUGCCCAAGUAGCUGAAAGGCUGUUUGUUUUAUGACAAACAGGACAAAGGAACCCAGCUAAGGUUCAGGGGUAGCACUCCCCUCAAACCGGGCUCUAAAACAUUUGCUUGGGAAUUCCUAAGUAGGUAAGGGCUAGAUGUGAACCCUUUUCUCAUAACUGUGUACCAAAACAGGAGUGUGCAUGUGUGUGCGCAUGCCCAUGUGCUCCGGGCACAUGCAUGUUCGUAUGAAUGUGUUUGUGAUGGUGUGUGUACCUGUGCGAUUCUCCAAUUUGAAAGAGGGAGACAGGAGGAUCAGGAAUUCAAGGCCAUCCUGGGAUACAAGACAUUCUGUCUACAAUAAACAAGCAAAUAAAUAAAUAAAUAAAUAAAUAAAUACGGGAGGGGUGAAGCAUGCCUUUGAUCUAGCACUCUGGAGACAGAGGUAGGCGGAUUCAUGUGAGUCUGAGGCUAGCUAGUUCUUUUUUUUUUUUUUAAUAAUUCAUUUAUUGUAUACACACCAGAAGAAGGCAUCAGAUUCCAUUACAGAUGGUCCUGAGCCACCAUGUGGUUGCUGGGAUUUGAACUCAGGACCUCUGGAAGAGUAGUCAGUGCUCUUAACCACUGAGCCACCUCUCCAGCCCAGGCUAGCUAGUUCUUAUGUAGCCAGGGCUACAUAGUGAGUUCCUAUUGAAAAUCAAAGGUUCAGAGGUUGCUGGAGAGAUGGUUCUGAGACUGAGGGCACAGGCUGCUCUGGCAGAGAGAGAGGGAGAGAGAGAGAGAGAGAGAGAGAGAGAGAGAGAGAGAGAGAGAGAGAGAGAGAGAGGAGAGAGAGAGAGAGAGGAGAGAGAGAGAGAGAGAGAUCUGGGUUUGAUUCUCAGCUCCCACGCUGCAGCUUACAACUUCUUUUUUUUUUUUUUUUUUUUUUUUUUGGUUCUUUUUUUCGGAGCUGGGGACCGAACCCAGGGCCUUGAGCUUCCUAGGUAAGCGCUCUACCACUGAGCUAAAUCCCCAGCCCCAGCUUACAACUUCUUAUAACUUGAGUUCCAGGGGACCCGAGGCCCUCUCCCUGACCUCUGAAGGCACCAGGCACACAUGUGGCAUAGCAAAACCGUCACACACCGAAAUGAAUACUUUCAUUUUUAAGAGAAAGAAAAGGAACCCAAAGAGGAAGGAUAAAUGGGUACAAGACACCAGAAAGCCAGGUUCUGACUUCUGACACCCAGAGGCCUGACAGACAGGCUGGGGACUUGGGAGGCCGUGGCAGAUGAUAGGACUCUGUUACUUGUUCUCUAAAGAAGUCACCCAUGUCUGUUUCUGUUCCCCAUAACAGCUGAUUCCAAGCACUGCAAUGUCCCUGAUUUCUUGGAACCCUCCCGUCACCCCUGAGAACCUAAGAUAUUACGCAGAGCCUUGCAUAGGCUAAGAAGGCGAUGUACAACGGACCUGCAUCCCGAGCCCCAGCCCGUGACUUUUCAAAGUGCUUCCGUCACUGCUCACCUCAGGAGAACCUGGCAUUGCCUGGAAGGAAAGUGGAGCCCAGUCAAGGAUGGCUGAACCCACCUGUAACCCCGACCCGGGAGAUGUGUCUGGGCUAAGUACUGAGCUCGGUUCUCCCAGGACUGCUCUGAGGCAGGAGACAUUGUCCUAAAGACCAGACUGUCCCAAGGAUGUAUGUAGCCCAGGCUCGGCCUAGAACUCCUGAGGCUCCUGUCCUCUGUUCCUGAGGGCAAGAGAUGGCAGGCGCUCACAGCCACGCCUGGCUUCCCCCCUUUACUUUCAGUUCUGUGUUACUGGAAAUCCUGGCUGAACUGUGGGGCUUCCCUUUUCUGCCUCUGGAGGAGAGGCUUCUGGAAAUGCUAGAAGACCCGAGCGAGAGGUGCUAAGAGCUCAGAAUGGCCGUCAAGAACAAACUGGAAUGUUGGAGGUUAGGGAUGGAGUUUAGCUUUUUUGUCCCCCCCCCCCCCAGUUGAGGCCCGAACCCAGGACCUUGCACUUGCUAGUCAAGCGCUCUACCACUGAGCUAAAUCCCCAACCCCUGGAGUUUAGGUUUAGAGCACUUGCCUACCGAAUCCAGGAAUGGGGUGGGAGAAAAAGCAUCCAAGCAAUGGAAGGGAGUAGUCCAGGGACCCCGACUGCCAGCCCAUUUGGCCUCCCAAACAAGGUGAACGCCUUGACUAGAAGUUCAGUGUGUACCUAGCUAACUCUGGCCCAGGUUUCAUCCCCAGGGACACCCUCAAAAGGAGGCCUGGGGGUAAGAAGGUCAAAGCAGGAUAAGGGUCCCAUCGGCUGCCCAAGAUCAGUUAAGUGCUGAUGCCCAUGACAAGGCAGGGUUCAAAGGUCAGAGGGCGCUGCUUUCCAGAGAUUCUGGCACCCACUGAGCCCCCGAAUAUCUCAGAACACCUUGACUAAGCCAGGGUGCGCCCCAGCUUCCUCAUUUAUGACAGGAAAAGAGAUUAGAUAAUGUCUCCCUGCUAUCCUCCUGAUAAUGCCUAGGGAAUUGGUUUGAGGACAAUGGCGACCCAUGAGGACAUUUUUCUUCCCGCCUCUGAAGGCAGGGUCUCUCCUUAACUCUGGUUGGUAAAGAUCUUAAAGCCUCAGCCUCCAUGAUACAGGGUUUGUAGACCCACACUACCAUACCUGUUUGUUUUUGUUUUUUUUUUUUCUUUUUUCUUAUUUUUUUUCGGAGCUGGGGACCGAACCCAGGGCCUUGCGCUUGCUAGGCAAGUGCUCUACCACUGAGCUAAAUCCCCAACCCCUGAUACCUGGUUUUUACAGGAAGUUUUAUUUUAUUUUAUUUUAUUUUAUAAGACAGAGUUUCUCUGGAUAGCCCUGGAUGUCCUGAAACUUACUUUGUAGACCAGGCUGGCCUCUGGAACUCGCGCGCCUGCCUGCCUCUGCCUCCGGAGUGCUGGGAUUAAAAGCAUGUGUCAGCACCAUCCAGCUUGGAAACUGCACUAAAACUUUGUUACAGUCAGGACAGCGGCACACGCGUGCCUUUAGUCCUCACAUUCCAGCACGGCAGAGGCAGAGCCCCCGUGAGUUCAAGGCCAGCCUGCUCUGCACAGUAACGAACAGCAGCAACCGAAAGAAAAACAGUACAGAACCCUGAUUGGUGGGGGUCAGAGCUGCAGCUCGCUCGGUUGGUAAGAGCGCUUUUCCUAGAGUGCAGGAAGCCCAGGACACCUGUGACACCAGUUUCAGGGAAACUGAAUGGACGGACAGACGGAUGGACAGAUGGAUGGACAGACAGACGGAUGAUGGGCGGACAGACGAAUGAAUGAAUGAAAAUGAAUGAAUGAAUGCAAAGAAGGGCUUCUUCUGCAUCCACCUACAAUGUCGCACUGGUGACCGGCACAAGGAAGGAGCUUGUCUGUGGUACUGCCUGUGGCCACAUCUUUCUCCCUGCAUCAAGGAAGAAGAUAUUUAUCUGUCCCUUUGGAAGCCAUGGCAUUUGAAAGGAAGGAGGCUGGUUUCCCAGCAAAAUGUGGCCUAGAGGACCUCCUUCUCCCACCUCCCAACCCCACUUCCCAUAGGGAGCAGGGGGGUGGGGAGGGAGCAUGGAGCAUGCAUGCACAUGUGCACACACACACACACACACACACACACACACACACAAGCAUGAGCUAUCAAGGAAUGCUUCCUGUUUUUCCCUCCUGAAAGUAUUCUGGAUGGAUAAAACUGGGGAAUCAAAGAGUGUGCCUACCUCUGGGGGCUGGGGAAAGGCAGAAUGGUUUUUAACCCUCUGCUCUCUCCCACUUAUGAGUUGCACAGCCAGCCAGGCUCUGGUGCCCUUGGUGGAUCUUAUGUGCAGCUGGGAAUCGAACCCAGGUCUUCCUGAACACUUGGCAGGCACUCUAAGGACUGGUCUACACCCCCACGCCAGAUUUUAACGUCUUGAGGGCCAUUCAUUCAUUCAUUCAUCGGUCCAUGAGGUCAUCUCCGAGUACCAACUUUAUGUGAGGACAUAGAGACGGCCGUGAUGGGGUCCCCAAUGUCACUAAGGAUAAUGAUGCCUAAGUGCUGAAAUGAUGAAGCACCACACACUGGGUGGGUGUGAUUUCUCCACCUCAGACUGGGAACGCCGGGACUGUACCAGCAAAAUAGCCUCCCACAGCCUCGGAACUGGUGGGUGUGAGUAAGGGCUGGGCUUAGAACCCAGUAGCCUGGCAACUGGCACCCGAGUGCCCCUUGGAGACCUGCCAUCCUGUCUGUGGCAUUUGAGUGACUCAACUCUGGCAGUUCUAACAGAGGCAAUUUCUCUCUGGGCGUGGGUAGGAGGCCUCAGAUGGGCUGCUCUGUUUAUGCCUUUUUGUACCUGGCCAUUCUAGAGCAGAGGUGAGGAAGCCCAGGAGACCAGAACAGGGUUGUGGUUACCAUACGGGUAACUUCGGCUGUCCUUUCUGGACACUGUUAGCCCCCACCUCUUUCCCAUUUCUAGAAUAGACUCAAUUUACGGCCAGACUUGUCGUUUUGUUUGACUGGGUAGGUAUCUGACAGCUCAGUCUGAUCUUGAACUCACUACGUAAGGAGAGAUGACCUUGAACUUGUAGAUCUUCUUGCUUUUAACUCUGUUAGUGCUAGGAUCGCAAGCGCACGAGACCGUCCUGACUUCUGUGGCGUUGGGGGAUGCAACCAAGAGCUUCUCGGACGCUAAGCACGCUCUACAAACUGAGUCUGCUCAUCAGUCUGGAUUUGCUUGGUUUUGCAUUUUUUCCCUGAAGCUUCUAGUCGAGCUUCUGUCCGAUUGGUGAACACACCUCGAAUCGCUCAGCCGGUUUCUGCAUUCUAGGUUCGAUUAGCUCAAAAAAAAAAAAAAAAAAAAAAAGUGCUUUCUAAUUGUACUGCUUUCUCCCAUGCUGAAGUCGGAAGGAAUCCCCUUCCCGCCCAGGUCCUAGACAAACUAAAUAUUAGCUAAGGACUCUGAGUAACCUUGAGAUCGGUUGACUGCAGAUGCUGGGUGUGAGGAAGCUUCUUGUUGUUUUAAGGUUUAUUUUUAUCUUAUAUUUAUCAGUGUUCCCCCCCCCCCCCCGCAUGGAUAUCCGUGUGCCAUGUGGGUUCCUGUUUCAUUCUGAGAUCAGAAGAAGACAUUAGAUCCCCUGGAACUGGAGUCACACGUAGGUGGUUGCAAGCCGCCCCUACAGGUGCUGCAGACAGAGCCUAAGUUGUCUGCAGAAGCAGCCGCUGCUCUUAAUCGUUGAGCUAGACGUGAAGAGAGCCUAAGGUGAUUCUGCAAUUCUAUCUCUUUAAGACCCAGGGCUCUUAGGCACAAGUCAGCCUGCAGGAUCUUUAGAGGUUCCAGGGAGGGAGAGGGGGUGGUGGUGGUAUUUGAACUGAAAGUGCUGACAAUCAGCAAAAGACCUCAUCCCUUUCUGCUGGCCUCAGUGGCUCUGCCCCUGUCCCGCCUGCACCCCCCUCCAUUUAUUUAUUGCAAUGCUGUUCCCAGACCCGCUGCUGUGUCAAUACUGAUAAAAGCGGUCGUCCUACAAACAGGUGCAGCUGGGAACUGCCCCUUGGACAGCUGCCAGGGUAAUGUGAUCACUCAGCUGGGGUGACCUGCCUCUGCCCAGCCUCCGCUUGGGUUCCAGUCAAGGCAAGUGUCCUUGGGCGGUUCCUGUGCUCUGAAGGUCCAGCCUGGCAUCGUGGACUUGUUCGGGCGGGGCGUGUGUGCGUCUGCUGGAAUGGGGUGGGUGUGCACCCGAAGGAGCGAGGGUUCCAAGGAUUCUCUUUCAGUUUCUUCAAAUUAGAUAGGCCAGCUCCCCUGCAAGCAUUUGACAAUUUUUUUUCUCCAAAACAUCACCAGCAGGUAUUUCUAGGUAGGAUAUAUACAUUUAAAUAUAUAUUUCUAUAUAUAUUUAAUAUCUAUAUAUUAUAUAUAAGUAUAUAUAUAAAUGGGGCUAUGACCAAUACCAGAAUAUAUUCUAUGCAUGUACAAAAAUGUCAUGAUGAAAUCUACGAUUAUCCAUGGUUAAUAUAUACCACUUAGAGUUUUUAAAAAAAAAAGCUCUUCAAGAAAAAAAAAAUUAGUAAAUUCUAACAGUAAAAGACAAGCGAACAAGUCAGUAUUGGGCCAGUUCCAAUUCCAGCACUUAGGAGGUAGAAGUAGGUGGAUUUCUCUGAGUUCGAGGCCAGCCUGGUCUACAGAGCAGCCAGCAAGGGCUACAUAACAAACUGUCUCAAAAAUAAUAAUAAUAAAAAAUCAGUGUUUUGUCCCCCCCCCCCAAACCACCCUUUCCAAAUUCGUACCAAUGACCUGGCCCAAAAGGCAUUUUCUGAGUACCAACCAGGGCCACGCUCCCGGAUUACCUAAAUAAACAUUUGUGAUCCACCCUCCCUUAUCCACAACGCUUUGGGAUGCCUACCAGACUCUGGUUUGAAAGAUUAUAGUUCAUCGCCCCUC